CCUACGGGAGGCAGCAGUGGGGAAUCUUGCGCAAUGGGCGAAAGCCUGACGCAGCAACGCCGCGUGCGGGAAGAAGGCUUUCGGGCUGUAAACCGCUUUCAGCAGGAACGAAAAUGACGGUACCUGCAGAAGAAGGAGCGGCCAACUAUGUGCCAGCAGCCGCGGUGAUACAUAGGCUUCAAGCGUUGUCCGGAUUUAUUGGGCGUAAAGGGUUCGUAGGCGGUCGAGUAAGUCGGGUGUGAAAAUUCUGGGCUCAACCCAGAGACGCCACCCGAUACUGCUUGACUUGAGUUCGAUAGGGGAGUGGGGAAUUCCUAGUGUAGCGGUGAAAUGCGCAGAUAUUAGGAGGAACACCGGUGGCGAAGGCGCCACUCUGGAUCGAUACUGACGCUGAGGAACGAAAGCAUGGGUAGCAAACAGGAUUAGAUACCCUGGUAGUCCAUGCCGUAAACGGUGGGCACUAGGUGUGGGUUUCUAUUAACGAAAUCCGCGCCGUCGCUAACGCAUUAAGUGCCCCGCCUGGGGAGUACGGUCGCAAGACUAAAACUCAAAGGAAUUGACGG
rnacentral:rRNA from 1 species